AAUCCUUGAAACAGUUCAUGUGGACUACAUGUAAUUCUGAAGCAUCAAUUACAUGUCCAGUGUACAAAGUUGAUGAGUGCAAAAAAGUAGAGUUAAAAUGCAGUAGUUGAGAAACUAAGGUCAAUCUUUUUCGUGAUAUUUACUCCCUUUUCCAUUGGAGUUUUUCUUCUUCUUUGACGCCAUUUCUUUGAUUUUGGGACGUGACAAGGUGGGGAUUUUUUGGAUCCAUAGAGUGGAAGGUAUGUGGAAUUUUGUGUUAGAGUUUUUGUUUAACUUUAGAGUUCGAGGAAAAUGAAAUUUGUGAUUUGAAAAUUCUUUCAAUUUAAAGAUUUGCUUGUUUGUUGAGAAAAUGGAUGAAGUAAAGGAACAACUUUGU